GGGUCCCUACAAUUUGAAACCCGCCCACCCAGAGAGCCGUAGGAAGCUCGUUGGCCACAUACAAGAGCGAGUCAUACAUCCGAGAAAACCGAUUGGAUAAAAUGUGGAAUACGCCUUCCCACCAGUCAUUAGCACAUUCAUUGGCUGUAUACGUUCUACGUUUUCCCCGUCCUUCAGGUUUUAUAAUAGUAAAUUAAUUCAGUGGUAAUACAAUACGUUUACUAACUCUCACAAUUGGGAUGUUAAAUGGAAAACAGAGCAACUGAGAUGUCCAACAAAGUGCAGAAAUCGUUCACAUUCGAAGAAUACGAGGACCCAAAGCAAUCACUGAAUGUUUCCAUUCCUGAGGUCCUUGAUCCACAAUAUGGGAUGCAUGUAUGGCCCUGUGCAGUGGUAUUAGCACGAUGUGUGGACACACAGGGAAGAGCUGAUGCACAAAAGUGCUAGAGCAAAGUGUGGGGCACAAGUGAUCUUGUAAGACUGCAGAACUUCCACUGUGUCUGGGGAACUGUAGGUGCACCUGUGAAGUGAAUGAAUUGCCCAAUGUGCCUGUGGUGGGUAUUACCUGGGGAGAAGUCUCCCCAGACCUUCUGCUCCUCCCUUCAUUAGACAUCUUGGGAUCAGAUGUUUUCUAUGAGCCUGAAGUGCCUACUGGUCCAUAGAGGCAUUGCUGCACAAAUGGAACUUGAAGUGUCUCAACAUUCCACAGGAGAAAUUCCAUGCCAACAAAGAUCAACUUGCUGGGUCAACACUUCCUGGAAGCCAUACUGUACAAAUGAUAACAAGCAAAGCUGUCAGCAAGGCACACUCAGUCACCAAAUAGUCAAGACCCAUUUCAAGAUCAAUGGUUCAAAACACAAUGCAUUAUGAAAUAGUUUAAGUUGUAUAGUCUAAUGUUAAAGUUUUAGAAUAAAUUGAUAACCCAAAUGUCUUAGACAAUUUUUAUUAGCUUUCACAUUGGACACCUAUACAGAAUCUUGCAAGGGGGAAAAGGAAUGCACAAAGGGCAAGACAGAAUGCAUUAAACAAAAUUAGCACACCAUACUUAGUGCUCUGAAUUAGAAAACAUUUUAACUUGUUGAAAGACAGGCAUUCUACCGAUGGUGAAUUUGUAGCAGCCAUUUAAGUUGGCCACCAUCACAGCAUUGUAGCCACAGGGGCAUUCCGGAGAACACUGGAAACAGCCAAGCACUGCAACACGGCACCUUAACAGCUAACCAGCAAUACUCAACUGCUACACAACUGCGCCUAGUGCACAAAAAAUACAGGAGAGAAGAUUAGAGUCACAAUGAAAUUAAACAAAGCAAAGUUGACCUGCAAGUAAAUCCGUGCCUGUUUCUUUUCAUACUUAUUCUAAAAGCCCUAGCCAUUUGAACUUCUGUAAUGGCCUUCAUGAAACCCAAAAUAACAGUUGUAAAAGCUAGGCCAUCAAAUCUUCACUAUGACAGUUUCAGAUAACAAAAAUAGCCAUAAAGUCCAACAAAUUGAAAUCCCAGCAGUUUUAGCCCCUCUACCUCAAAAGCACAUUAAGUAUAGUUUUUAUUUUUUUGUUAAACAUUGCAAAGACAGACAAGCAGUCUGGGUGAACG